rnacentral:rRNA from 1 species
CCUACGGGAGGCAGCAGUGGGGAAUUUUCCGCAAUGGGCGAAAGCCUGACGGAGCAACGCCGCGUGAGGGAUGAAGGCCUCUGGGCUGUAAACCUCUUUUAUCAAGGAAGAAGAUCUGACGGUACUUGAUGAAUAAGCCACGGCUAAUUCCGUGCCAGCAGCCGCGGUAAUACGGGAGUGGCAAGCGUUAUCCGGAAUUAUUGGGCGUAAAGCGUCCGCAGGCGGUCUUGUAAGUCUGUCGUUAAAGCGUGGAGCUUAACUCCAUUUCGGCGGUGGAAACUACAAGACUAGAGUGUGGUAGGGGCAGAGGGAAUUCCCGGUGUAGCGGUGAAAUGCGUAGAUAUCGGGAAGAACACCAGUGGCGAAGGCGCUCUGCUGGGCCAUAACUGACGCUCAUGGACGAAAGCUAGGGGAGCGAAAGGGAUUAGAUACCCCUGUAGUCCUAGCCGUAAACGAUGAACACUAGGGGUCGGGGAAUCGACCCCCUCGGUGUCGUAGCUAACGCGUUAAGUGUUCCGCCUGGGGAGUACGCACGCAGUGUGAACUCAAAUGAAUUGACGG